AUUGAACGCUGGCGGCAUGCUUUACACAUGCAAGUCGAACGGUAACAGGGAGCUUGCUCCGCUGACGAGUGGCGAACGGGUGAGUAAUGCGUCGGAACGUGCCGAGUAGUGGGGGAUAACGCAUCGAAAGGUGUGCUAAUACCGCAUACGUACUGAGGUAGAAAGUGGGGGACCUUCGGGCCUCACGCUAUUCGAGCGGCCGACGUCUGAUUAGCUAGUUGGUGAGGUAAAGGCUCACCAAGGCGACGAUCAGUAGCGGGCCUGAGAGGAUGAUCCGCCACACUGGGACGGGGACACGGCCCAGACUCCUACGGGAGGAAGCAGUGGGGAAUGUUGGACAAUGGGCGCAAGCCUGAUCCAGCCAUGCCGCGUGUCUGAAGAAGGCCUUCGGGUUGUAAAGGACUUUUGUCCGGGAGCAAAUGCUGGUGGCUAACAUCCACCGGAGCUGAGAGUACCGGAAGAAUAAGCACCGGCUAACUACGUGCCAGCCGCCGCCGUAACAC
rnacentral:rRNA from 1 species